UAGUCUUAGUAUAAGUUAUUAUUUUUAAUUUUCGAUUAAAAGAUUUUUGAUUAUAG
rnacentral:tRNA from 1 species